rnacentral:rRNA from 1 species
UACGUAGGGUGCAAGCGUUGUCCGGAAUUAUUGGGCGUAAAGAGCUCGUAGGCGGUUUGUCGCGUCUGCUGUGAAAACGCGAGGCUCAACCUCGCGCCUGCAGUGGGUACGGGCAGACUAGAGUGCGGUAGGGGAGAUUGGAAUUCCUGGUGUAGCGGUGAAAUGCGUAGAUAUCAGGAGGAACACCAAUGGCGAAGGCAGCUCACUGGGACGUUACUGACGCUGAGACGCGAAAGCGUGGGGAGCAAACAGG